ensembl:lncRNA
GACUUCUUGCGGCCGGAGCUCGGCGGCGGAAGCAGCUGCUGCAGCUUGCAGGUGUGGUGGCGGCCGGCCGAGCUGACCACGCACAGACCCGGCGCGGCGGCACUGCGGCCCCGGGGCAGCCGGCGCCGGGGACAAGAGCUGAUUCGAUCCCUCCGGAGAAGUUUCCUGAGUUUCUGGGAAGGCCUGGUUUCCCCAAAGGAACAAUUUCUGGUAGAAGUCUGAAGGUCUGACCCAAGAAAAAAAAUCCAGUAUAGCCAAUGAAUUGAGGACAAAAAGGUUUCCAAUCAGCUCCUGCUAUGUGGAUAUUUGUUAGCAAUGACUGAUGUAGAAACUACAUAUGCAGAUUUUAUUGCUUCAGGAAGAACGGGUAGAAGAAAUGCAAUACAUGAUAUCCUGGUUUCCUCUGCAAGUGGUAACAGCAAUGAAUUAGCCUUGAAAUUAGCAGGUCUUGAUAUCAACAAGACAGAAGGUGAAGAAGAUGCACAGCGAAAUUCAACAGAACAAAGUGGGGAAGCCCAGGGAGAAGCAGCAAAAUCUGAAAGUUAACACCCCACUUUGAUCUUCAUCAACACCUGACAAUGUCUCAAAUCUCCAGGCCUGGCUGGAAUGCAUUUAUUUCCAAGAGUGAAAAGGGGAAAAAGAAAAUGGCUGUGCUGCAUUGCAGGAACCUGCUUGUUCUGUUAAAAAUGGGGGCAGAGGCUGUGGCUGCAGACAGACUUUUCUCUACCUCUGGCAUCAGCAAUGGUUGAAAUCAUGUGGCUUGUGUUUGGAUGUCAUUUUUGUACGGAUCCUUUCACUUGACCAUAUGAUUAAAUGCUUGUAGAGAGUAGCACCGACCUAGGUGAUGAUUCUUCCUGUAGCAUCUGGCCCCUCACAAUGUCAGAGGAUUUAAUUGUGUCUAAUCGCAAAGGGUUGGUUGAACCCCAGAGUUUAAUUAUCUCUGGCCCAAGUAUUCACCCAGUAAAAGAACCAUCCAGAAAGCACUGUUUUUAGCAUUAUGUAUCUGUGUGUUCCUGCUGUGUUAUUUACACUGUUUUGUAUUAUAAAAUAUAGAUGCUCAGCACUGCCCCCUUCUUUGAUUGCUUAUGAAAAACAAAAAUGAUGUACGUUACUGUGAAUUUUUAUACUACUCAUUUUUAAAAGGGCUGCCUAAAAGUUCUGCUCCAUCGUGUGGUGGUGUGCACAGGAUAGAACCCACAUUUUUUUUUUUCUUUUGCGGUACGCGGGCCUCUCCCGUUGCGGGGCACAAGCUCUGGACGCGCAUGCCCAGCGGCCAUGGCUCACGGGCCCAGCCGCUCCGCAGCAUGUGGGCUUUUCGCGGAAGACCGGGGCACGAACCCGUGUACCCUGCACCCGCAGACCGACUCCCAACCACUGCGCCACCAGGGAAACCCUGAAAGCUCACAUUUUUUAAACCUUAAUCUUUCCCUUUAAUGCACAGCUGAUGAAUUAAGUCUAACAGAUUCAUCAAGACUCCUUUGCUUAUUAUACAGGCGUUUGAAAAUAUCCAUUAAUGUGAAAAUUACCUGAAUUCAGUCUGUUUGGUGUCUACACAGACCAGAAUUCAAACUGCAAAUUUUGUCUUAUCCCCAAGUGGAGAACUUUAUCCAACGAAUAUUUUUAUUUCCAAUUAUGAGGAUUUCUGAGAAUUGGGGAGAUGGGAAAGAGAAUACAAGAUAAUACUAAGCAUGGGAAAUAUUUUCUUCUAUGGAAUCAAAUUUAUCACAGUGCUGUAUGAUACUAUUAAAAUUUGGAGGACAGCUUAUCUCCACGGAGCAGCAAAAGAUGUAGAAAAUGAUCUUGCAAUCAUGUGGACACCAAUCACAAAAGUAAAGCCCUUGUGUUGUGUUUUUCAUGUCUUUUUUCAGCCCUAUCAAAUCCAAAUGUUAUUAUGCACUUUCUAAUGUUUGUAAACUUUUACUAAUAAUUAGUGUGAAUUCCAUUCUGAUACAAUAAUAAUCAUCAUUAGAAGCUGACAAAAUCCUCAUUAAUACUGUUAGUGACCUCUGCUGUGUUUUGACAUCAUGGUUCUUGUAUGGAAAGUUUCUAUGAACUGUGUAAUCUCACUGGUCAGUAUUAUGAAAUCAUUUCUCAGUGGUAAUAUAUAAGGCACCAGUAAUAUGCCAAUGGCUCAUGAAUUACGGGACAAAUGGCAGGCAACAGGAAGACCCUUUGCAAUAAAGACCCCACUUAACGGUCCUUGAGGUCUUAGAUACAAUCCCAUGUGAAGUAGGUCAAGCAGCAUUUCAACAGAUAAUCUAUAUGGACAUACCAGGAACUCAGCCCUCCUUUGUAGUUACAUAAAGGAUGAAAGGUAAGUCUGCCCUCAUCUCCCUUUACAGUACUUUUUGAAUGAGUGGAAUAAGGGCAUGGGUAUCACAUGGUCCUCAAUCACAUAUUACUAGAAAAAAUGUUAACUGUGAGUCAUUGAGACAAUAGGAAAGAUUAAAUUUUAGAGUACUUCCUUCUGCUUAACGCAGUAGGAUCCAAAAUGUCCAGUUAACGUUCAAACAAAUCCACCUAUUAAUAGACUCACAAGUGGGAAAAGAGGUUCCUGGGGCUAUUUUAGACAAUUUCUGCUAGUCUGUUUAGCACAUCCAACCCAUACAAUCACUUUUUAAUAUCCUUAUUUAUUAUCCUCAUAGCUUUCUUGUGAUUCUAGGUAAAGUUCUCUUCAUCCUUAAAAUUGUGGAAUUCCAAACUGAUUUCAUGUGAUUUUGUAAAGUUUAGGACUAGUGCUGAGUAUAUGUGGAGUAUUUAUAUUCCUGUGUGAUAUACUAUUAUUAAUGCAUGUGGUAUCAUGCCUGUCUUUGAAUAUAUAAUGGUUGCUAAAUUGUGAAGUCAUAUGGAGCUUUUGAAUUAUUUUUGACCUCUUACUGCUACUUUGUCUGCUAUAUUCAAAUCCAGAGGUUUUCCCAAGCCAGAAAAUAAAAAUUAGCUUUCCAAAACUUUCACAUCCUACAAACGUUGCUCAGCAAAAGUUCAUAGUAUCUUCCAAAUUUUAUCAUAUAUCUUUUAUUUGCAAGUCAGUAACAUACAAGGAAUUGAAUUUUUAAGGAGAGAAGGAAAGAGUAGAAAACUAACACACUGAUUUGAUAAUACACAUUGAAUUCCUGUUAACCAACUGACUUUAUGCUAUUCACUUCACAGCACAUAUCAUCUCAUUUAAUCCGCAAACAAUUCAAUUAAAGAGGUAGCGUUAUUCCAUUUCAUAAAUAAGGAAAUUAAGGCUCAAUAAAGUAUAACUUUUACAAGCUUGAAAAGCUAAUAAAUGAUGAAUAAAAUUUGAAACUGUUUGUCUGUCUCCAGGGAGCUUUCUACUGCACGCGCCCUAAAGUUGAAGCCAGUUACAGAGGAUGUUUAUCUGGAAGGGAACUUUUAGAGAUGGACUGAAUCAGCCUCCAUAUUUUAGAGGAGGAAACUGAGUCCCAGAGAGGGCAAUUGUUUUUCUCAAGGUUACCUAGAUGAGCAAUGACACAUAUGUGAGUAGCACUUUUAUCUAAAAAAAAUAGUAAUAAAUUUACUGUCAACUUAUUUUUUCGUGUUAUGCUUCCCAGAAGACAUUUUUUCUGACAUGGAGUCUGUAAACUUAGCAUGGUUCAGACUUUUUAUGUUCCAUGAUACUCAUUUUGUUUAAUUAACUAGAAAUUGAAAUUUUCCAUUUUUCAACUUAUUUGCAACAAGUGUAAACUUUUCAAAUUUACCUUUUAUCAGUUGUAAGUAUCCUAUGCUGACAUAUUGAUAUCAUAAAUUCAUAGAAAUGUUUUUCCAACAGAUAAUAGACAGGCAGCCUCCAAUUUUUAGGCCUUUCACCCCAGAGCUGUGUACUGUAAAUGCCCAACACUUGAGUCUUACUCGGGCACAGUGGAAAUACACCAUUUUAGAAGAUGACUGAUAAUGGCUGUUUCUCUUCAGAGAAGCAUUAAGGGGUAAAGAAAUGUAACUGUGGGCAAUAGAGUUUCUGAGUGAAACCAGUAGUAAUAGGGUGAAAAUGUAUAGUCAUCAAGUGAAAAAAGGAACGGAUCUAUGUUUAUGAUGUCUUUAUAGGGCCUAAAUUGUUCUUUAAUUGCAAGUGGCAGUCUCUGAAGUCAUUUGUGAGCUUGUAUGACUUUUGUAUUUAGCAAUGUUGCAUGCUCACAUAAUUGAUAUUAAAAGUAAUACAUUUUUCUGAAAUGUA